rnacentral:rRNA from 1 species
UGAGGAAUAUUGCACAAUGGGCGCAAGCCUGAUGCAGCAACGCCGCGUGAGGGACGAAGGCCUUCGGGUCGUAAACCUCUUUUCUGGGGGACGAGUAAGGACGGUACCUCAGGAAUAAGUCUCGGCUAACUACGUGCCAGCAGCCGCGGGAAAACGUAGGAGGCGAGCGUUAUCCGGAUUUACUGGGCGUAAAGCGUACGCAGGUGGCUUCGUGAGUCGGACAUGAAAGCUCCCGGCUUAACUGGGAGAGGCUGUUCGAUACUGCGAGACUUACGGUGGGGAGAGGGACGUGGAAUUCCCGGUGUCGUGGUGGAAUGCGUAGAUGUCGGGAGGAACACCAGUGACGCAGGCGGCGUCCUGGCCCACACCUGACGCUGAGGUACGAAGGCGUGGGUAGC